AUAUCAAUAAGCGGAGGAAAAGAAACUAACAAGGAUUCCCCUAGUAACUGCGAGUGAAGCGGGAAGAGCUCAAAUUUAAAAUCUGGCAGUUCCUUGAGCUGUCCGAGUUGUAAUCUAGAGAAGUGUUUUCCGUGCUGGACCGUGUACAAGUCUCUUGGAAUGGAGCGUCAUAGAGGGUGAGAAUCCCGUCUUUGACACGGACUACCAGUGCUUUUGUGAUGCACUCUCAAAGAGUCGAGUUGUUUGGGAAUGCAGCUCAAAAUGGGUGGUAAAUUCCAUCUAAAGCUAAAUAUAGGCGAGAGACCGAUAGCGAACAAGUACCGUGAGGGAAAGAUGAAAAGAACUUUGAAAAGAGAGUUAAACAGUAC
rnacentral:rRNA from 1 species